AGCGGGUGUAGUUUAGUGGUAAAACUACAGCCUUCCAAGCUAUUGUCGCGAGUUCGAUUCUCGUCACCCGCUU
rnacentral:tRNA from 1 species